GACGGGGGGGGCAAGUGUUCUUCGGAAUUACUGGGCGUAAAGCGUGCGCAGGCGGCUCCUUAAGUCAGAUGUGAAAGCCCCGGGCUUAACCUGGGAACUGCGUUUGAAACUGGGGAGCUAGAGUGUGGAAGAGGGGGGUGGAAUUCCAGGUGUAGCAGUGAAAUGCGUAGAGAUCUGGAGGAACACCGAUGGCGAAGGCAGCCCCCUGGGCUAACACUGACGCUCAUGCACGAAAGCGUGGGGAGCAAACAGG
rnacentral:rRNA from 1 species